rnacentral:rRNA from 1 species
AUUGAACGCUGGCGGCAUGCCUUACACGUGCAAGUCGAACGGCAGCACGGGAGCAAUCCUGGUGGCGAGUGGCGAACGGGUGAGUAAAGUAUCGGAACGUGCCCAGUCGUGGGGGAUAACGUAGCGAAAGUUACGCUAAUACCGCAUACGAUCUAUGGAUGAAAGCGGGGGAUCGCAAGACCUCGCGCGAUUGGAGCCGCCGAUAUCAGAUUAGGUAGUUGGUGGGGUAAAGGCUCACCAAGCCGACGAUCUGUAGCUGGUCUGAGAGGACGACCAGCCACACUGGGACUGAGACACGGCCCAGACUCCUACGGGAGGCAGCAGUGGGGAAUUUUGGACAAUGGGCGCAAGCCUGACCCAGCCAUGCCGCGUGCAGGAUGAAGGCCUUCGGGUUGUAAACUGCUUUUGUACGGAACGAAAAGGUUUGGCCUAAUAAGCUGAGCUCAUGACGGUACCGUAAGAAUAAGCACCGGCUAACUACGUGCCAGCCGCCGCAGUAA